rnacentral:tRNA from 1 species
GGGAAGGUGGCUCAGUGGUAGAGCUCUUGCCUUGCAUGCAUGAGGCCCUGGGUU